rnacentral:rRNA from 1 species
UACGGAGGGUGCAAGCGUUAUCCGGAUUCACUGGGUUUAAAGGGUGCGUAGGCGGACACUUAAGUCCGUGGUGAAAUCUCUGGGCUUAACCCAGAAACUGCCAUGGAUACUAUUUGUCUUGAAUGUUGUGGAGGUUAGCGGAAUAUGUCAUGCAGCGGUGAAAUGCAUAGAUAUGACAUAGAACACCAAUUGCGAAGGCAGCUGGCUACACAAAUAUUGACGCUGAGGCACGAAAGCGUGGGGAUCAAACGGG